rnacentral:lncRNA from 1 species
AGCGUUAGCAGGGUGGACUGGAUGGGCCAUAUGCCAGAUCCUUUGAUUUCUAUUUGCCACCACACGAACUGACACUGCUGCCCAGAAGCAUUCCCCUGCACAUCCACAUCACAGCCCUCCUGCUGGCAGCUUGGAAUUUAGACCUUUUACUCUCAAUGCUCCAGGAAACCAGAUGUACUUCUUUCUUUCUUGUCCAUUGGUGAUAUCCUUGACAAUGUAGUUUAGGAAGCCCCGUGUGUUGCUUUGUGUGUGCAUCAGUCUCUCGAGAACCCCCUGUGAAUCAGGAGGCAUACGUUCCAGUGACUAUAGGGAGUCGAGGGGCUAAAGAGGAAGCUGAUGCUUACAACAAUGGAGAUUAGCAAUACCUGGACAGAGUUGAGCUUCAAAGGAUACUGAGAAAUAGCUAAAGCAGAUGAUAAAGAAAAAAUGAGGAAAUGCUGUGAAGAACUAAUAGAACGUUUCAGAAGCAGAACAAGUCGAGAGCAGUGAUGACCCUUUUGUUCCUGCUAGUACCUCCUGUCUGUCUGGCCGAACUCACCAUCAGAUGAUGUCUUGAACCUCACCUAGAUGGGCUGGUGGUGUGUGGCCAGGUUAAGAGCACCAACAGGAGUAAGAAAGUGACCUGCCUGGUUUUACCGUGUGUACUAGGGGAGGGGUUGAAAGCUUUCGGUUGAUACAUCACCUCUGGGAGUUGAAGAAGAAUGCAAUUAAGAGAGCUAAAGAAGUCAGUAGGUAUCUCUCCUGAACAAUUCUGGUUUUCUUCUAAUAGCUUUUACAAUUUUUACCUCUGUUAUGAAAUGCAAACUUUUAACCAAUAUUAGUAAUAGUAAUCUCAAAUCUCAUCAUCAUCAAAAUCUUAUUUAUGAAAUAUAGGAGUUAGUUCAUAUACAGCCUUAGCCUUUUCCACAUUAUAAAAUAUAUUCCAUAUAUAUGUGUGAUCUUCAUUUAAUAUUCAAGUAAAUGUUGUAAGAUAUUGUUAUUUUUAUUCUAACAUUUCACAGGUAUAGAAUCUGAAACUCAGAGGUCAACUGAUGUGUCAAAGAUACCUCCACAAAUCAGUACCUUGAUUAAAACUAAAAUUGGAGUCAUCUUCAUAUCUCCAUCUUUCUCCCUCUUCAUUAGGACCGAUUGUAGUCUGUUUCCCUCUCACUCACUUGCAAUCUUUAUUGCUUUAGUGUUGCAUUUGAUUUUUAUCUUUGUUUUUGUUUUAAAUACUGUCAUUAAAGUCAUAGAAAAAUCUAAAAUAAAACUGGUUGAAUAAAAAUUUUAAAAUCGACUCUAAUGUAAUAAACCAGACAAAAAUGAUACUUUAAAUGUUAUAUCUUCCCUUUAAACUACAAAUAUUCAUUGAGUGUAUACCCUGUAUUAGGCUGUUGGAAUAAAACAGGGAAGAAGACAGAAGAAACUGCACCGCCAUCUUAGAUCUUGCAGCCAAAUUCCUCUGAACUUUUCUCUAAAGACGUGCUCUGGAAAAAUGUUGAUCAUUUUCCUACAUCAUGGAGGUCUUUUCAUGACCACCUUUGUCUAGACAAUGUCCUGUUUUUAGGUGCACGUUUGAGGGCUGGAGUCUCUGACCCACAGUGCUGCAGCCUGCACGUGGUUUGUCCUGACUUCUUUGCUACUUCACUUUUCGUAAGGCUCUGAGAGUGCAGGCCCUUGUGGGUGGACACUGCAGGGUGAGAGGAAGAAGUAAACUACUUUUUUCCGUUUCUGAUGGGGGUGUGGGUCAGCAGCUAUAAGCAACAGGGACCAUGGGGGGCCUCAGACUUCAGCACCUGAGAGGCAGUUUCAGUCGUAUUGGGGAGAUGCAGGCAUCUGGGUUGCUGCACAUCACCAGGGCAGGGUUCUCUCAGCAGCCCUGGAGUGCAGAGUUCCCAUCAGCUCAGCAGUGAGGGGCACAUGGGGCUCCAGUGGUGAGGACUCUUGGUCCUUGGAUGACAACACUCCCCUGCCCACUUCUCCAGCCUUCCCUGUAACCCUUUGCCACCUCUAACCAAUCUUCUGUGUUACAUCUCUUCGGUUUGCAAUAUGUAGUGUUCGUAUAUGACUGGACAGUAUCUACUGGAGUUAAUAUCUAUCAGAGUAAUUAUAUCACAAUUGCAAUCUUCUCCUAAGAGUGAAUAGUGACAUUAAAAAUUUCAACAUUAUAAAUUAUGCAGAAAUAAAACUAAUUAUACAAAAAAUACACUCUGAAUGUCAGUUUUUCCCUGAGACAAUCUACCAUUUGAUAUACGGUGAUUCACACUUCUUAAUAUACAACAUUGAAUUACUUUUCCAAAAGCCUCUUCAAAUUUUGCUGCAGAAUUAAACUUCACUUGCACCAGCUCUGAAUUAUGUGUGCUUUUCCUUCUUGGUCAAUUUCAUAGGUGUAUCAUUAUUUGUCUUUUUUAAUUAAUAUGUUUAUAUAACUUUUCAUGUUUAUCCA